GUGGACUCAAAGGUUUUCUCCCUGAGAGGCAGAGCCCAGGCCAGCUGAUUCAUCAGUAUCAGGAUGGACAUGGUAGAGGAUGCGGAUACUUUGCAGGAGUGAGGGGACAUCAUUAUGAAGCAUGAGAAGGUAGAGGGCAGUCUGCUCCCUGGAGGGAGGCCUCCUCCAGUGCACCCUGGUGAAAGGGUCCUGGGCUCCCUAGGAGCACAGAGCGGGGACAGGUGGCCCUUUCACCCUUUACCUUGGACCCCUCACCAAGGCUCCCACUGGGUUGCAGGGACACCAAGCUGGGCUGCCAGCAGACAUGGGGCCUGUGCCUGUUGGAAUCUACAGCAGUGCUGAUUGCUUUGGGAUUCUGCAUGAGACGGAGCUGCCCCCUGUCACUACCUGGAAGGUGAAGCAAAUGUGGCAGGAGAUGAGAUGAAAGAGCAAGUGGAUGGAAAUGCUGGGAGAAUGGGAGACAUAUCAGAACAGCAAAAAAGUCAUGAAGGAGAAGGGCAAGAGGUCCUCUGGACACAUCCACCAGAUCGACCUGGACAUGAGCCGGACAUUAAGGAACCACCUGUUCUUCAGGGACCGAUAUGGAGUCAAGUAAGCCUAUGGGAGCCACAGGGUCCCAGUGGAGAUGGGGUGAACCAGAGGGAUGGGGACUUCCCUGGAGCAGAAGCCAGGAUCACCCAGGAGGGAUGACAGAGCUGCCAAGAGCUCUCCUGUACCAGGGAGCAGCUGGUACCAUGGACCGAGCACCUCCCAAGUUCCAAGCCCUGGGCCAGACUGGAACACGUGGGGCCAGAACCCAGGAGGAUCCUGAGGAGACAGACGGCGGCAAAGAAAAUCAUGCACAAUGGUGAAAAGUGCUCUCCCUGACCCACAGGGACCCAUGGUAGGACCCACGGGAGGGCAGCAGGAUGGAGGGCCCAUGAGCUUCCCCAGGCAACACUGACAGGACCAAAAGCAGGGGGAGCUUGGGGUCCUGGAAACUCUCAUCCAGGUCUGCUGGGAACAUCACACGGCACAGCCACUUUGGCAGCCAGUUGUGCAGUGGCUCACAAAGUUCAAUGGACUUGAACCACAUGUCCCCAAAGUGUCACCGAUAUUGAACCCACUGAUUUGAAAACUGAUGUCCACAUGAAACCUGCAUGCCACAUUCACUGCUUGAUUCAUUGACACUCACACAUGGAGGCUACGGGAAUGACCUUCAACACGGGAACGCAGAGAGGAAGGGUGGUCCUCCCUUCAAAUGGCAGAAGAUUCAGAGAGAAAAGGGAACGAUCUAGUGAUGCCCACAUGAACAUGGGUGGAUCCUAGAUGCGUUUUGCUAAGGGAAAGAAGCCAGGCCCAAUAAGCUACCACAGUAGGAUUCCCAUUCCUAGACCAUUCUGGAAAAGGCCAAACCAUAGGGACCGAGAACUGGUCUGGGUGGCCAGAUGCUGACGGAUCAGGGAGAGGCUGGCUGCAUAGGGGCCACCCUGGAGACUUGGAGGAUGAAGGAGUCACUCCAGGAGGGGCUGGAGCAGUGGCCAGGAGAUUCUGCACAUCGGUUUAGAACCCUCCUUGCCCUGCA
rnacentral:lncRNA from 1 species